rnacentral:tRNA from 1 species
UAGCUCAGUCGGUAAAGAAUCUGCCUGCAAUGCAGGAAACCCAGGUUUGAUUCCUGG